GACGAACGCUGGCGGCGUGCUUAACACAUGCAAGUCGAACGGAAAGGCCCUGCUUUUGUGGGGUGCUCGAGUGGCGAACGGGUGAGUAACACGUGAGUAACCUGCCCUUGACUGUGGGAGAACUCCUGGAAACUGGGGCGAUAACCGGAUAGAAUCUCUUGCUCCAUGUGGGGGGUUGGAAAAUUUCGGCGGUGGGGGAUGGACUCGCGGCUUACAAGCUUGUUGGUGGGGUAGUGGCUUACCAGGGCUUUGACGGGUAGCCGGCCUGAGAGGGUGAACGGCCACAUUGGGCCUGAGAUACGGCCCAGACUCCUACGGGCGGCAGCAGUGGGGAAUAUUGCACAAUGGGCGGAAGCCUGAUGCAGCAACGCCGCGUGCGGGAUGACGGCCUUCGGGUUGUAAACCGCUUUCGCCUGUGACGAAGCGUGAGUGACGGUAAUGGGUCAAGAAGCACCGGCUAACUACGUG
rnacentral:rRNA from 1 species